rnacentral:misc_RNA from 1 species
UCACCGCUUGCGCGGGCAGUCUCAUUAGAGUCCCCGACAUUACUCGCUGGCAACUAAUGAUAGGGGUUGCGCUCGUUACAGGACUUAACCUAACACCUCACGGCACGAGCUGACGACAGCCAUGCAGCACCUAGUUUCGUGCUAUUGCUAGCUGACAUGUUUCCACAUCAUUCACUAACUUUCAAGCCCUGGUAAGGUUCCUCGCGUAUCAUCGAAUUAAACCACAUGCUCCUCCGCUUGUGCGGGCCCCCGUCAAUUCCUUUGAGUUUCAACCUUGCGGUCGUACUCCCCAGGUGGAUAACUUAAUGCUUUCGCUUGGACGCUGACUGUGUAUCGCCAACAUCGAGUUAUCAUCGUUUAGGGCGUGGACUAC